GCGAGUGAGCGGCAACAGCUCAAAUUUGAAAGCUAGCCUUCGGGUUCGCAUUGUAAUUUGUAGAGGAUGAUUUGGGGAAGCCGCCUGUCUAAGUUCCUUGGAACAGGACGUCAUAGAGGGUGAGAAUCCCGUAUGUGACAGGAAAUGGCACCCUAUGUAAAUCUCCUUCGACGAGUCGAGUUGUUUGGGAAUGCAGCUCUAAAUGGGAGGUAAAUUUCUUCUAAAGCUAAAUAUUGGCGAGAGACCGAUAGCGCACAAGUAGAGUGAUCGAAAGAUGAAAAGCACUUUGGAAAGAGAGUUAAAAAGCACGUGAAAUUGUUGAAAGGGAAGCGCUUGCAAUCAGACUUGUUUAAACUGUUCGGCCGGUCUUCUGACCGGUUUACUCAGUUUGGACAGGCCAGCAUCAGUUUCGGCGGCCGGAUAAAGGCUCUGGGAAUGUGGCCUCCACUUCGGUGGAGGUGUUAUAGCCCAGGGUGUAAUACGGCCAGCCGGGACUGAGGUCCGCGCUUCGGCUAGGAUGCUGGCGUAAUGGUUGUAAGCGACCCGUCUUGAACCA
rnacentral:rRNA from 1 species